GACGAACGCUGGCGGCGUGCUUAACACAUGCAAGUCGAACGGAAAGGCCCUGCUUUUGUGGGGUGCUCGAGUGGCGAACGGGUGAGUAACACGUGAGUAACCUGCCCUUGACUUUGGGAUAACUUCAGGAAACUGGGGCUAAUACCGGAUAGGAGCUCCUGCUGCAUGGUGGGGGUUGGAAAGUUUCGGCGGUUGGAGAUGGACUCGCGGCUUAUCAGCUUGUUGGUGGGGUAGUGGCUUACCAAGGCUUUGACGGGUAGCCGGCCUGAGAGGGUGACCGGCCACAUUGGGACUGAGAUGCGGCGCAGACUCCUACGGGAGGCAGCAGUGGGGAAUAUUGCACAAUGGGCGGAAGCCUGAUGCAGCAACGCCGCGUGCGGGAUGACGGCCUUCGGGUUGUAAACCGCUUUCGCCUGUGACGAAGCGUGAGUGACGGUAAUGGGUAAAGAAGCACCGGCUAACUACGUG
rnacentral:rRNA from 1 species